UGCGUAGGCGGUAUGGUAAGUCAGAUGUGAAAUCCCAGGGCUCAACUCUGGAACUGCAUCCGAUACUGCCGUACUUGAGGACCGGAGAGGAGACUGGAAUUCUCGGUGUAGCAGUGAAAUGCGUAGAGAUCGAGAGGAACACUCGUGGCGAAAGCGAGUCUCUGGACGGAACCUGACGCUGAGGCACGAAGGCCAGGGUAGCGAAAG
rnacentral:rRNA from 1 species